UUAUAUCGAAUACGCAUACCGUAGACAGUAGGUGCCCAUGCCGGGCUUAAUUUCCUACCGAGGUGUUAUGAUAAAAUGUUGAUGAAUACAGCAGGCUUGCCUGCAAAGUCAUCUUAACGACAUCAUGGCCUUCGCAGUUCUGCGAGGGCCUUUCUCAUGCAUCGA
rfam:Paenibacillus sp. 1DrF-4 C1291, whole genome shotgun sequence.